AGCGUGGGAAAAGAGAGAGAGAGAAAGAGAGAGAGAGAGAGAGAGAGGGAGUUUCAAAGUUUGUGAAGUUUUUCUUUUUAUUUAUUUAUUUUAUUAUUUUAAAGGUGGUUUUUAAUACCAAAAUAAAAAAUAUACUGUACAUACUUGCACCUAGAAUCAUUUUGAAUCGACUUAUUUAAUCUUUUAAAAUUUUAAUUUUGCUAACUAAUUUCGUAAUAUGUUUGAUUUUAAAUGAGUCAACGAUACUUUGACUUCCAAAUUUAUAUGUGUCGUUUAUCUUUAUAGGUUUAAUUAGUAUAAUUCAGAUAAUUUUCGCAACUAUAAAUUUAUUAAAAUAAAAAAUUAAUUUAAAUUUUAAAGUUAAAGUGUCAUGAAGUGACUCAAAUUAAAUAAGUUAUAAGUAAAUUAAAUUUUCAAAAGAUAGGGCUGUAGAUUCAAAAUGGUCCUUGUAACAAUUAUGAAGGAAUUAAGGACAUGUUCAGCAAUCAAAGAAACACUAUUUGUGUAAAAAUCCCUACUUUCACGUGGUAAGAGUUUAGAGCUAAUAUUAAAAAAAAAAUAAUUGCAUACAUAUUCCUGCAAAUAUAGUGAACUACAAAUAUAUUCAUUAAAAAUUCAACUUUUAUAUAUUUUUCCUAUAAAAAUUUUUAUAUUUUCAAGUAUAUCCCUGCUGUUAGAAUUCGUAAAAAAAAUUUAGUUAACUAUAGAUUAAAUACUUAAUCUUAAUUAGUUAAUGAAGUGAAUUAAUCUUUUUACCCUCUUCAAUUAAGAGUUGGGAUUUUCAAAAAAACAUAUUUGUAAUGGCAAAAAAAUUAUUUCACUUAUAAAUAAAUAGUGCUUUAACAGUAACAAAUCAGAAGGACAUAUUUGAAAAUAUUAAAAUUUUUAUAGGAACAACAUAUAAAAAUUGAAUUUUGUAGGGAUAUAUUUAUAAUUUAUUAUAUUUAAACAGUGCUUUAACAGUAAUAAAUCAGAAUGACAUAUUCGAAAAUAUUAAAAUUUUUAUACAAACAAUAUAUAAAAAUUAAAUUUUGUAAGGGUAUAUUUAUAAUUUAUUAUAUUUAUAGGGA
rnacentral:lncRNA from 1 species